GCCCCUACCGGGAUGGCGGCGGUUUUGGAGUCGCUGCUGCGAGAGGAGGUGUCGGUCGCAGCGGCCGUGCGGUGGAUCGCGCGCAGAACCCAGAGUUCCGAGGACAGCCCCGGGGAGGCGGCCGUGCUGCGCUCACUCCGGCCGCUGCGGAAGGAAUUCGUGCCGUUCCUGCUGAACUUCCUGAGGGAGCAGAGCUGCCGCGUCCUCCCGCAGGGCCCCCCAACCCCCGCCAAGGCCCCGGGCGCCUCGGCGACCUUGCCGGGGAGGCCGGGGGGCCCGCCGCGGGGCGGCCGCGGGGCGCGCAGCCAGCUCUUCCCUCCGCCGGAGCCCCCGAGCCCCGCGGCCGAGGCCCCUCUGGCCCGCCGCGGGGGCAGGAGGCGGGGCCCGGCGCCGGCCCGCGAGCGCGGAGGCCGCGGCCCCGGGGGCCCGGAGGAGGGGGUCGGCGGGGAGAGCCUGCCCUGGGCCGGGGCCCGGAGGCUCCGGGGCUCUGGCAGCCCCAGCAGUCCCAGCCUCGCGCUCUGUGAUCCACCAAACCUCAGCAACCUGGAGGAGUUCCCUCCCGUAGGCUCGGUUCCCCCCGGCCCUGCAGGCAGGACGAAGCCUUCACGCAGGAUCAACCCAACUCCGGUGAGCGAAGAGCGGUCACUCUCCAAGCCCAAGACUUGCUUCACCUCACCCCCAAUCAGCUGUGUCCCCAGUUCCCAACCCUCAGCCCUGGACACUAGCCCUUGGGGCCUUGGCCUUCCCCCAGGGUGCAGAAGUCUGCAAGAGGAGCGAGAGAUGCUCAGGAAGGAGCGUUCCAAGCAGCUGCAGCAGUCACCUACCCCUUCCUGCCCCACCCCGGAGUCGGGGUCUCCUCUCCCCAGCCGGACGGGGAGCCUCACCGAUGAAGCUGCUGACCCUGCCCGAGUGUCUUCCCGCCAACGCCUGGAGUUGGUAGCCCUUGUGUACUCUUCCUGCAUUGCUGAGAACCUGGUACCAAACCUGUUCUUGGAGCUUUUCUUCGUCCUUCAGCUCCUCACUGCCCGGAGAAUGGUGGCUGCCAAGGACAGUGACCUUGAACCAGGUCCAGGUGUCCUAGAGUCUGUGGGGAGCCCCCUGUUCCAGAGCAUCCAUGACUGUGUCUUCUUCGCCGUGCGGGUGUUAGAGCGUCAGUUUCCGGUUCUUUCCUACCUGGACAAAGGGACCUUGAAGCUGCUGGCAGAGAAUGAGCGGCUGCUAUGCUUCUCACCAGCCCUGCAAGGCCGCCUUCGAGCUGCCUAUGAGGGCAGUGUUGCCAAGGUGUCUCUGGUGAUGCUGCCCUCUGCUCAGGCUGUCUCCUUCCAGCCAGAAACUGACAAUCGUGCCAACUUCUCCAGUGACCGAGCCUUUCAUACUUUCAAAAAGCAGAGGGAUGUGUUUUAUGAGGUGCUUCGAGAAUGGGAGGAUCACCACGAGGAGCCCGGCUGGGACUUUGAGAAGGGCCUGGGUAGCAGGAUCAGAGCCAUGAUGGGCCAGCUCUCGGCAGCCUGCAGCCACAGCCACUUUGUUCGACUUUUCCAAAAACAGCUUCUCCAGAUGUGUCAGAACCCAGGUGGUGCUGGGGGCACUGUGUUGGGCGAAGCUCCAGAUGUGCUCAGUAUGCUGGGAGCUGACAAGCUGGGGCGGUUGCGGCGUCUACAGGAGCGACUUGUGGCCCCUCAGAGCAGUGGGGGGCCCUGCCCACCCCCCACCUUCCCGGGCUGUCAAGGCUUCUUCAGAGACUUCAUCCUGAGCGCCAGCAGCUUCCAGUUUAAUCAGCAUCUUAUGGAUAGCCUGAGCUUGAAGAUCAGGGAGCUCAAUGGCCUCACCCUGCCUCCACAUGAGCCUAAUGAUGACGAAGGGGAGGCAGAUGUGGACUGGCAGGGUGAACGGAGACAGUUUGCUAUGGUGCUGCUCAGCCUGAGGCUUUUGGCCAAAUUCCUGGGCUUUGUGGCUUUCCUGCCAUAUCGCGGGCCUGAACCACCCCCGACCCGUGAGCUUCAGGACUCCAUCCUGGCCCUCAGGAGCCAGGUCCCACCGGUCCUGGAUGUGCGGACCCUGCUGUGGCAGGGGCUGCGGGCCCGCCGGGCUGUGCUCACCGUGCCCUGGCUGGUGGAGUUCCUGUCCUUUGCUGACCACAUCGUGCCCCUGCUGGACUACUACCGCAGCAUCUUUAGUCUCCUGCUGCACCUGCACCGGAGCUUGGUCUUGGCGCAGGAGCGUGAAGGGGAGAUGUGUUUCCUGAACAAGCUGCUGCUGCUUGCUGUCCUGGGCUGGCUUUUCCAGAUUCCCACGGUCCCAGAGGACUUGUUCUUUUCGGAAGAGGAUCAGUCGGAUGGCUUCCAAGUGGACGCAGUGUCCUCAGAAUAUGGCUUGGACAGUGUGCCUGUGGUGGACCAGCAGCUGCUCUACACCUGCUGCCCCUACAUUGGAGAACUCCGGAAGCUGCUCGCUUCGUGGGUUUCAGGCAGCAGUGGGCGGAGCGGGGGUUUCGUCAGGAAAAUCACUCCCACCACCACCACCAGCCUGGGAGCCCAGCCUCCCCAGACCAGCCAGGGGCUGCAGGCGCAGCUCGCCCAGGCCUUUUUCCACAACCAGCCGCCCUCCCUGCGCAGGACUGUGGAGUUUGUGGCAGAGAGAAUCGGAUCGAACUGUGUCAAGCAUAUCAAGGCCACGCUGGUGGCAGACCUCGUGCGACAGGCAGAGGCACUUCUCCAGGAGAAGCUGGUGGCGCAGGGCCAGGAAGGGGGCGAAGCAGCCCAGCUGGUGGAGAGCUUGUGUUCCCAGCUGUGCCCCCACGGGGCCCAGGCGUUGACCCAGGGGCGGGAAUUCUGCCAGAAGAAGAGCCCUGGGGCUGUGCGGGCCCUGCUUCCAGAGGAGACCCCGGCAGCUGUGCUAAGCAGCGCGGAGAACAUUGCCGUGGGGCUGGCCACAGAGAAAGCCUGCACUUGGUUGUCGGCCAACAUCACAGCGCUGAUUAGGAGGGAGGUGAAAGCGGCCGUGAGUCGCAUACUUCGAGCCCAGGGUCCUGAGCCAGCUGCCCGGGGGGAGCGGAGGGGCUGCUCCCGCGCCUGUGAGCACCACGCUCCCCUCCCCUCCCACCUCAUCUCCGAGAUCAAAGAUGUGCUCUCCCUGGCCGUGGGGCCCCGGGACCCUGAGGAGGGAGUUUCCCCAGAGCAUCUGGAGCAGCUCCUAGGCCAGUUGGGACAGACCCUGCAGUGUCGCCAGUUCCUGUGUCCACCUGCUGAGCAGCAUCUGGCCAAGUGCUCGGUGGAGCUGGCUUCCCUGCUUGUGGCAGAUCAAAUUCCCAUCUUGGGGCCGCCGGCACAGCGCAGGCUGGAGAGAGGGCAGGCCCGAAGGCUCCUACACAUGCUGCUUUCCCUGUGGAAGGAGGACUUUCAGGGGCCCGUUCCCCUGCGACUCCUGCUGAGCCCGAGAAAUGUGGGGCUUCUGGCAGACACAAGGCCGAGGGAGUGGGAUCUGCUGCUCUUCUUGCUCCGGGAGCUGGUGGAGAAGGGGCUGAUGUGCCGGAUGGAGAUAGAGGCCUGCUUAGGCAGCCUCCGUGCUGCCCAGUGGCCAGAGGACUUCUCUGAAGAAUUAGCAACGCUGUUCAAUCUGUUUCUAACUGAGCCCCACUUGCCAGAACCCCAGCUACGGGCGUGUGAGCUGGUGCAGCCAAACCGGGGGACUGUGCUGGCCCAGAGCUAGGGCUGGGCAGCGGCCCUGCUGGGCACCUCAUCAGAACCCUGCCUGCCUGCCUGUGCCUCAGGAGGAAGCCGAAGAGCCCACUGCUGCCCCUCGCUGCGGUGGGAGGAGCUGGGUCUGGAACAGACCUCCUGCUCGGAUGGAAGGGCUGCGUGGCAUCCCACCGACGGCGAGCUCACCACCCGAAUCCUGGAGGCAGGAGAGGCCAGGUGAUUCAGCGUGCUGCUGGAAGAGCCUCGAGACUCGUCUGGGAGCAGAGCGGGCGUUGAUCACGUGGAUGCGGAGUACCAGGCGUGAGAGGGCUUGUCAAACAGGCUCCUCGCCUCACUUGCUGCUAUGCUAGCACCUCUUACAACGUGUGGUUCUGGAUCACGAAAGCGGCAGAGGACUUCUGCUUCACUUGAAAAUGAAAGCACCAUCUUGGAACUCUACAUUUCCCCAUCACCGGGAACUUACAAAUGCACAACAGAUAAGGGGCUGAUGUCUAGUCAUUUCCGCCUUUUCCCUUAGAAGGCUGCAGUCUCCGGUGGGCUCCUGAGUUCCAGCCGUACAGGUGCCUUGCCGGUUAGGAUGCCAGCCCCAGGCCCAUGAAGCUGCUUGCUUUCAAUUUAUGCCCAGCAAAUUGGCAGCUCUCGUCAGGGCUGGGGGUGUCCUAUCUGGCUGACAACGUGUCUCAGAACUAAAGCAUUCUACUUCUCUAUAAGCGAACCACUGCUUUUGACUAAGAAAGCAUUAAACAUGUCA